UACGAAGGGGGCUAGCGUUGCUCGGAAUCACUGGGCGUAAAGGGCGCGUAGGCGGAUCUUUAAGUCAGGGGUGAAAGCCUGAGGCUCAACCUCAGAAUUGCCUUUGAUACUGAAGAUCUUGAGACCGGAAGAGGUAAGUGGAACUGCGAGUGUAGAGGUGAAAUUCGUAGAUAUUCGCAAGAACACCAGUGGCGAAGGCGGCUCACUGGUCCGGUACUGACGCUGAGGUGCGAAAGCGGUGGGGAGCAAACAGG
rnacentral:rRNA from 1 species